CGUAGGGGGGCAAGCGUUGUCCGGAUUUAUUGGGCGUAAAGAGCGUGUAGGCGGCCAGACAGGUCCGUUGUGAAAACUAGAGGCUUAACCUCUAGACGUCGAUGGAAAACCGUCUGGCUAGAGUCCGGAAGAGGAGAAUGGAAUUCCUGGUGUAAGCGGUGAAAAUGCGCAGAUAUCAGGAAGAACACCCGUGGCUAAAGGCGGUUCUCUAGUACGGUACUGACGCUGAGACGCGAAAAGCGUGGGGAGCGAACAGGAUU
rnacentral:rRNA from 1 species